rnacentral:rRNA from 1 species
UGGGGAAUAUUGCGCAAUGGGGGGAACCCUGACGCAGCCAUGCCGCGUGAAUGAAGAAGGCCUUCGGGUUGUAAAGUUCUUUCGGUAUUGAGGAAGGUUGAUGUGUUAAUAGUACAUCAAAUUGACGUUAAAUACAGAAGAAGCACCGGCUAACUCCGUGCCAGCAGCCGCGGUAAUACGGAGAGUGCGAGCGUUAAUCGGAAUAACUGGGCGUAAAGGGCACGCAGGCGGUUAUUUAAGUGAGGUGUGAAAGCCCUGGGCUUAACCUGGGAAUUGCAUUUCAGACUGGGUAACUAGAGUACUUUAGGGAGGGGUAGAAUUCCACGUGUAGCGGUGAAAUGCGUAGAGAUGUGGAGGAAUACCGAAGGCGAAGGCAGCCCCUUGGGAAUGUACUGACGCUCAUGUGCGAAAGCGUGGGGAGCAAACAGGAUUAGAUACCCUGGUAGUCCACGCUGUAAACGCUGUCGAUUUGGGGGUUGGGGUUUAACUCUGGCGCCCGUAGCUAACGUGAUAAAUCGACCGCCUGGGGAGUACGGCCGCAAGGUUA